CAUGCACCGGUGGGGUCCCUCAGCCUGGCCUGCACCCUCUCACAACCCGCGACCCCUUGGGGGAUGUCAGAGAGCUGGUUUCAGCCCAAUCCUGCAGGCCAGGCUGAGGGACCCCACUGGUACACG
rnacentral:pre_miRNA from 1 species